GUCUACGGCCAUACCACCCUGAACGCGCCCGAUCUCGUCUGAUCUCGGAAGCUAAGCAGGGUCGGGCCUGGUUAGUACUUGGAUGGGAAGAAAGCCAUACUGACGCUUGGAUU
rnacentral:rRNA from 1 species